rnacentral:rRNA from 1 species
GAUGAACGCUAGCGGGAGGCUUAACACAUGCAAGUCGAGGGGUAACAUGAGGUAGCAAUACUUUGAUGACGACCGGCGUACGGGUGAGUAACACGUAUGCAACCUACCCUGUACAGGGGGAUAGCCCGGAGAAAUUCGGAUUAAUACCCCAUAACGAUAUUUGGAGGCAUCUUUGAAUAUUUAAAGUUUCGGCGGUACGGGAUGGGCAUGCGUAACAUUAGCUAGUUGGUAGGGUAACGGCCUACCAAGGCAACGAUGUUUAGGGGACCUGAGAGGGUGAUCCCCCACACUGGUACUGAGACACGGACCAGACUCCUACGGGAGGCAG